UACGUAGGGUGCAAGCGUUGUCCGGAAUUAUUGGGCGUAAAGGGCGCGUAGGCGGCUCGGCACGUCCGUUGUGAAAUCGCCCGGCUCAACUGGGCGGGGUCGGCGGAUACGGCCGAGCUGGAGCAAGCUAGGGGGUAAUGGAAUUCCCGGUGUAGUGGUGGAAUGCGUAGAUAUCGGGAGGAACACCAGUGGCGAAGGCGGUUACCUGGAGCUUUGCUGACGCUGAUGCGCGAAAGCGUGGGGAGCGAUCCGG
rnacentral:rRNA from 1 species